rnacentral:rRNA from 1 species
UACGUUCCCGGGCCUUGUACACACCGCCCGUCACACCACGAAAGUGGGCAACACCCGAAGCCAGUGGCCCAACCCUUGCGGGAGGGAGCUGUCGAAGGUGGGGUCCGCGAUUGGGGUGAAGUCGUAAGUAAGUUGCGACCUUCGCUGGCAACAGCGUCGACGAACUCGGCUAUU